UUUGGAUUCAUUCUGCAUCAACAAUGGAGCUUUGAACAGAGGCCCAGCUCCCCUCCCUCAUAUGCAGUUUCAGUUGGAACUGACAAAGCAAUAAUACCAGCUAAUGAAGAAAUAAUCCAAUAAAAGUGUCAGGAGAGAAAGUCACUGAUAUUAUCCAGACACCUCUUUGAAACAUAAGUGACUAUUCAUCAUACAGAGGGGUCUCUUUUCCACUCAUAGCAAGAGGUAGUCCUGAAUGAGUGACCCUUGUAAUGCAGAGACAUAGUACUGAUGAUAGAGAAGAGAAGCGUCUGAAAUACUGAUUGAAGAUUCUUAACAAAAAUUGUAAAUGGAUUUUUCCCUCUAUAUAGACAUGGUAAAAACACAAGCUUUAUCUAUAAAGAUGUUUUUCUCUUCCGUGACUUUUUUGUAACUA